AUCAUUUUAUCCUAUUAGUAUUUUUUUUAUUUUUUUUAAUUUUAAUAUAUGAGAAAAAAGAAGAAGAAGAAGAAGAGUUCUAGAGAUUAGAGUCCUAAGAGAUCCUAGACUGAUAGAUGAGAGAGUUUUAGUUAGAUUUAAUGUUCGUAGGUUAGUAAUCAAGUUAUGCAGUCAAUCCUAGCUAAUGGUAAUCCUAGAUCU
rnacentral:lncRNA from 1 species